AUAAGUCAAUGUAAACGCAUAACGUUAUUUUAUUCACAUAUACAAAGUGGUAUGACAAAAAAGCACGAUGCCAAAUCGGGUUUUUUUCUGUUAGUUGCGAAUGUAUUCGUUAUAGUAGUUAAUUUGCUAGUCCACGGAUGUUCCCGCCGAAAUUGGACUUCGUUAUUAUGAAUAUUAAUAAAUUAAUAUGAGGUGUGUUUUUAUCAACUUAACCACUUGGUUGUUUUUGCUUCAGAAAAGCAACUAGUUAUAAAUGUAAGCGCUUUUUUGGACAACUUCGGUGAAAAAGUGUUGAUUUCGUAGUUCAGUCAGCGUAACUUAUAUCCGAGAGGUCUUACAGGCGCCACAGACACCUAUCAGCCUUUUGUAAGGAGGAGCAGCUCGAGUGCGGUGCGGUCAGUAGCCCUUCAAAUUAGAAAAGUGAGGAUGAUCUUGUCAAUGCUGAGAUUUUCAUGCAUCAACAGCCACUACAUCUGGAUCAGAUUGAACAAGAAACAGACAGCAAGGGUUGUCAGGUCAGAAACAGAAUGACACACAAACACAAGAAACUUCACAGGCAGAUCAACAUGCAAUUUGAAGAUGUGUGAUAAAAUACAGAGAGGUGAAGUAGUGUGUCUUUCCAGAUGCCCAAAUCAUUCCCCCUUAAAAGAUGAGCCUGAAGAGGAGAUUUGGGAAGAUGCUGUUUCAUAAGUCGCUUUGCCAGAUCACCUGUGGUCGGGAUGUCUGCUAACAAGAUGCCUUGCUGGUCUGAGCGAGUUUAAAGUCUUACACAGACAGUCCAGAAGUUCUGAAGUCCAUCUUCGAUUUCAUUGGACGAUUUAAGGUGUAGAAACAUCUCAGCAACCUCAAGAGAAAUUGGAGGCAACUGAGCUAAAUUGCAGAUGUUGUUUCAAAGGGUCUGAAUAUGUAUAAUGUAAAUAUGAUGUGUUUUCUUUUUUCAUACAUUUGCAAAAGUUUCUAAAAUUCUGUUUUUACUUUGUAAAAAUAUCUAAACAAUUACAGUAUCAUGCAACAACAUAAAAUUGAAAGUGAAAGGUGUAUGAUUUCUGAAUGCACUGUAGAUGAUCUUAAUUGAACCUCAUUGUCAUCAUCGUAAACACAACAGCUUUGUUCUUUCAUCAGAUGGCUAUGCAAUGUUUCAAGUCAGACUAUCAAAGAAAACGCAUCUUGCCCUGAUGUGCAAUAACAAGAUUUUUUUGUAC